GCUAACUUGCACAGUACAAAUACAUUUCACUGAAGAGAGUAAACAAAUAAAGAACUAGUCACAGAUGGUUCUUUAUGAGUGUUUCUGUUAUCCAAGAAUUUAUGUCUUGUUUUAUUCCAGGGUUAUAUCCAUUCCCUUCUUUGUUUAACACUGGUUAUUUUUCUUCUCUUUCAGAAAUGGGUUGUUGGUAAAUUUGACAGAGUCUUGCCUAUCCUGCACCUUAGGAGUCGACAGAAAAAGAAAGUAUCUUUUUCCCUUUGGUUGGGCAUAGGCACGAUUCCCUUCUUUCUUUUGCCAUAUGGGGAAACGUUUGCUUCACAGUCUGGAAGUGUGACGUAAUAGCCAACGUUGAUUCACUGUAUUCCCAAAGUAAAUCUUGAAGUAGGCUUGUGUGAUUUGAAUACAUUGUUUAGACUGCAAGUCAGUUGCUUAAAGGCUUGUGGUCCAGACAUGAAAAAGGACUCUGGGUUGUCCUUUCGCACAGAAUCCAGCCUGUUCAUAAAGACUGGAAGUUUGCUUGCUGAAAGCAUCAUGUUGGAUUAGUUCCUUAACUCGGACCCACAUUGUGAAAUAUGAUCCAUCAAAAUACUGCCAUAACAAAACUCUCUAAAUUUUGCCCUGCAGUUAGGAAAAAAUGCAUCUGUCCUGAAGAUGUAGUUGCUGCGAUUUUGGCAGCGGGGGAGGAUGCUGAGGAAGCAAGCUCCAAGGGACAAAAUGAUUUGUGUUUGAAACAUCAGCCCUUCAGAGAAAUGGGCUCCCUUUGUGAAAAAGAGUUACCGAGGGACAGCGCUGGUUUAGAGAAGAGGUCUGGAGAAAGUUUAGAUCUUGAAGCUUGUGUUUCUUACUGCAGGGAGGAGUCAUCUCAAAGACAGCGGAAGAAUCAUCCAAUGUAUUCACUUGAACUCAGCAGUAAAAAGGGACAAAAUACGUGUUGUGAACCACACAAGGAACUGUCAGAUGCCUCCUCCUUUGCAGAUGAGAGAGGUCAGCCUGUGUCCAGGCCACACUUGCAAGGAAAGAACAAAGAUGUGACUUCUACAAAAGACAAGCAAAAUUCAGAAGACGGAGAUGUUGCUCCUCCUACGUAACACAAUGAAGAUGACGUGGAUAGUAAUGCUGCAGUGCCACAGAAACAUGCUAAAUGACAACUGACAAGCACCAAACUGCUUUCAAAACAACUGAAGUGGGAUGUAAGCAAUCAAAAUCCAGAAUAUGAAGCUGAUAAACAUGAGGAUGGGAAGAGAAGCCUUUUGGAAAAUAAAGAGCUUUGUCUGCAUGCUACUGUUUCAAAGGAACGUAGACCAAAAAAGAAACAGUUGCAGGAUAACCAGAGGAGGCUAGCAGGCACCUAGAGAGAGAGACAGAGAGAGAGAGGGAGUGUUACAGAAGAAACUCAUUCAAGGAGCUCUCUCCAAUCUGGACAGCCACGCAGCAAAGCAAGCAUAAACACGUGAUGAUUCCAUUCAGAUGUGGAAAGUGAAGCUGAAGUAGAUGAGACGUU